GCGGGUGUAGCUCAAUUGGUAGAGCGCUGGUCUCCAAAACCAGAGGUUCCAGGUUCAAGUCCUGGCUCCCGUGCCA
rnacentral:tRNA from 1 species